UACGUAGGGGGGCAAGCGUUGUCCGGAAUCAUUGGGCGUAAAGAGCGUGUAGGCGGCUCGGUAAGUCCGUUCUGAAAGUCCAGGGCUCAACCCUGGGAUGCGGAUGGAUACUGCCGGGCUCGAGUCCGGAAGAGGCGAGUGGAAUUCCCGGUGUAGCGGUGAAAUGCGCAGAUAUCGGGAGGAACACCAAUGGCGAAGGCAGCUCGCUGGGACGUGACUGACGCUGAGACGCGAAAGCGUGGGGAGCAAACAGG
rnacentral:rRNA from 1 species